GGCAACCAGUUGGGGGUCCACUGCCGCAGUGUGGGAGGUUUGUUCUUUCGCUCUUUGCAAUAAAUCUUGUUACUGCUCACCCUGGGUCCACACUGCUUUUGUGAGUUGUAACACUCACUGGGAAGGUCUGCAGCUUCACUCCUCAAGCCCGGGAGACCGCGAGCCCACCGGGAGAAACGAACAACUCUAGACGCGCCGCCUUAAAAGCGGUAACAUUCACUGCGAAGGUCUGCAGCUUUACUCCUGAGCCAGCGAGACCACGAGCCCACCAGAAGGAAGAAACCCCGAAUACGUCUGAACGUCAGAAGGAACAAACUCCAGAAGCGCCACCUCAAGAGCUGUAACACUCACCGCGAGGGUCCGCGGCUUCAGUCUUGAAGUCAGUGAGACCAAGAACCCACCAAUUCGGGACACAAUACCUAUAAUCCCAGUACUUUAGGAGGCCAGGGCAGGCGGAUCAUCUGAGCUCAGGGGUUGGAGAGGAGCCUGAACAACAUACCGAAACCCCGUCUCUACAAAAAAUACAAAAAUUAACCGGUUGUGGUGGCCGGUGCCGGUAGUUCCAGCUAGUGGGGGACUGCGGAGGUGGGAGCUGAAGCGGGAGGAUCGCUUGAGCCUGGAGGUUGAGGCUGCAGUAAACAGGGAUUGCGUCAGGACACUCCAACCUGGGGAACAGAACGAUGCCCUAAAAGGCUGGCUGAGCUGACUGGAGUCCAAUCUCCUGACUCUCAAGUCCCCGCAUCAGAGGAACACAUUGUUUUCUUGGGAAGCCUUCAAGAGACAGUCAUGCAUGGUUUCCUGGUUGAAGGAUUAAUUAUCUGCUACCUGAUCUAAAGUUGAUAAAUGAAAAACAUCAGUAUUAACACAUGACAUGGAAAAAACACCAGAGGAGAAAAAACCACCAAAGGAAGAAAAACAAAAACUGUGAACAGUGAUGUCUCACCGGGGGUGGGAGCACAGCAGCAGACAUUUGUCAAAACUCACCCAACUCUAUAAUUUAAAUGUGUACAUUUUAUGGUAUAUAAAUGAUUCCUCAAUAAAGUUGAUUAAUCCAAAUAUAGUGGCCUUCAGAGAUGGCAGGGGUGAGUGAGAAGCCACUUUUUAUUGUUUGAUUUUGUUUAAAUAUGGAUUUUUACUUUAACAAUGUUUUUUAAAUUUAUAUUUAAAACGAUAUUAAAAAACAGAGUUUAGGCCUGGCAUGGUGGCUUACGCCCGUAAUCCCAACAUUUCAUGAGGCUGAGGCAGGAAGAACACUUGAGGCCAGGAGUCACAGACCAGCCUGGGUAACAUAGAGAGACCCUGUCUCUACAAAAAAUAAAAAUAAAAAUAAAUUAACUAGCUGGGCAUAGUGGCAUGAACCUAGCUACUAUGGAGGCUGAGGUGGGAGGAUCGCUUGAGCCCAGGAGUUCAAGGUUGCAGUGAGCUAUGAUUGCACCAUUGCAUUCCAGUCUGGGUGACAGAGUAAGACCCUGUCUGUGAAGAAACAGUGUUGUGUGGGGGUGUCGUGUUGGAUGGAGCUUAAGGCUCUACUGGCUUGGAUUCUUCCUGAGAUUUCAGGUCAGAAUUGAGGAGCAGGAUGUUUCCUCCGAGCCCCUUUUUACUCUUAUGGACAAGAGGGAUACUUGAGAAAUGAGAGUGCUGGUUCUUAUUAGAUUUGCCUGGGUAGCUAAAACAGUUACCAACACUGGGAUCCACCCCCAAGAGUUCCUGAUUUCACUGGCGUUUGAAAAAGCCCUCUUGGUGGCUCUAAUGGGCAGCCUGGCUGAGGACUACUGAAUUUGGUGAGGGAGCCCUGGGUGGCAAGGCAUGAGAAUUCAAGAUGGGAGGAUGGAUAGGUAAGGGGUAGGAGUCACCUAAUCACAUUCUCUCCCUUUACAGUGGGGAAACUGGCCCAGUGAGGGAAAGGGUCUUGCCCAAGGUGGGGUGGCAAGUCAGUGGCCCCUGGCUGAGGCUAGAACAUGGGCUGCCUGACUCCUGGCCUUGUGCUCAUUUCUUCACACCUCGAGGGUUCCAUAGGCUUGACUUGGGAAGGGCAGUAAUACACGUGCAGGGGUUUGCUGAGCACCCGCUGCCUGCUAGGCCCUAUGCUAGAUGCUGUGUGUGGCUUCUCUCCUUCAAUCUUCCUGCCACCCUGUAACUCCUGUCUCCUAUGUUAUACUUUAGCUAAGAGCUGCUUAGAGAAGUUAAAUGACUCACCUUAUUUUGUGCCAUUCUCAUUAGGCUUUAACCUAAUAUUUCUCAACAUGUGGCUCUAAGAAAUAUUUUUCUCUAAAUUUCUUGGAAUGCUUAUUAAAAAUGCAGAUCCCUGGGCUGCACCCUAGACCUGUGGAAUCAGAAUUUCUGGAGGUAGGAUUCAAGAAAGUACAUUUUAACCAAUAUUCUUAAGCCCACAAACAAUUGAGAGCCACCACUCCCAGGAGCCUUCUUUGCAUCACUUGAGCAGACCAACCCUUCCCGCCCCAGGGCCUUUGCAACUACUGUUUCCUCUGCCUGCUGAACAACCUCAUCUGCAACUCACUCUUAAGUCUAAGCUUUCCCUGGGAUGUCUUUUGACUCUUUAGACAAGGAAAGGUCUUCCCAUUGCACGCUCCUUUGCACAGUAGAUGUUUCCUCUGUGGCACUUACUACGAUGGUAACUUACAAAACAACAUGUGUGAUGUUUUGUUUCAUGUCUUUUCCCUGCUACACUACGAGCCUCAUGUCCAUUGUGUCCACUGGGUUGCUCACAACUCCUGGCCCCAUGCUUGGCACCCAGCAGGGGUUAAACAAGCAGUCCGGUUACACAGCCAGAGACGAGCAGAGCCGGGAUUCAACCCCAGACCUGUCUGAUACCGGGUCUACUUCUAAACCUGCAUGGUGGACUGCCCCAGAAAAGCAACGACCCAGACCAGACAUGAGGGUCCUAACCAGUCGCUCAUUCUCCAGCCCCCUAAGCCACUCUGCUUAUUCACAACUAGUAGUUCCUUUUGAUAAAUACUGAUAACCAAUAAUUAAGGGGCCAUUGAGAGCUUGGAUCUUCCCCUACAGGCACAACACCAGGCACUGUGAUAUCAAAGCACAGACAAAAUCAAGUUUCAUGUCCUGGCAAUUACUGCAAGCAGUCCCAAACAGCCAGACACACUGCAUAAGCUCAGUGAAGACCUGAGUCUCUGUCCUUUCAGAUGUUCUGAUAGCAUCUUGAAUGAAAGUUCCACCUGGGCCCAGCGUGCAAUAGUAAUAGUAGUAAUGGAUUCAGACAAAUGAGAAUUUACCAGGUCAGUAGGCCUGGCCUGCCCCUGCCCCACACCCACCCCCAGGCUCAUUCCCAAGCAGAGCAUGACAGGCACUGGGAUUUACUCAAAAGUUUGCUCUAGUCCUGGUCUGGAGAAACUCUCUGUGUUCAGGCAUGCCAGAGACCAGAAGUGAUCUAAGAGGUGCUUAACAAGCUGUAAUGCGUGUCAAGAAAAACUGUAAAAGACUAAAAUGGUGGGAAAAAAGAAAGGGAAAGAGAUAGACUACUGGAUGUCCCAGCGUACCCUUCUGGGGGUUUUGUUUUUUCUCAGUCUUUCAUUAUCUGAGCUAUUUUACAAUUCUGCAAAUUGUAAAAAACUGAUGGUAAUGCAAAUGAUUCUUGUCCAUAUAAAUAUAAAUUAUGUCCAAUGCAAUGCAACUGAUUAUUGCCCUAUAGAUUUUUUUUUUUUGCCAGUUUUGCAUCUGUUUGUAAAUUCACUUCAGAUUCCUGAUGACCUAUAUUAUGUGUCUACUUUUGCAUUCUCCUUUGAAUUGAUUGUAACAUCUUAGUGGUUUCCUCAUUAAUGAAUGAGUGAAAUAAAACUUUUGAUCCAGG
rnacentral:lncRNA from 1 species